rnacentral:rRNA from 1 species
CCUACGGGUGGCAGCAGUCGAGAAUCAUUCACAAUGGGGGAAACCCUGAUGGUGCGACGCCGCGUGGGGGAAUGAAGGUCUUCGGAUUGUAAACCCCUGUCAUGUGGGAGCAAAUUAAAAAGAUAGUACCACAAGAGGAAGAGACGGCUAACUCUGUGCCAGCAGCCGCGGUAAUACAGAGGUCUUAAGCUUUGUUCGGAAUCACUGGGCGUAAAGUGUGCGUAGGCUGUUUCGUAAGUCGUGUGUGAAAGGCGCGGGCUCAACCCGCGGACGGCACAUGAUACUGGGAGACUGGAGUAAUGGAGGGGGAAGCGGAAUUCUCGGUGUAGCAGUGAAAUGCGUAGAUAUCGAGAGGAACACUCGUGGCGAAGGCGGGUUCCUGGACAUUAACUGACGCUGAGGCACGAAGGCCAGGGGAGCGAAAGGGAUUAGAUACCCCUGUAGUC